rnacentral:rRNA from 1 species
UACGUAGGGGCUAGCGUUAUCCGGAUUUACUGGGCGUAAAGGGUGCGUAGGCGGUCUUUCAUGUCAGGAGUGAAAGGCUACGGCUCAACCGUAGUAAGCUCUUGAAACUGUAAGACUUGAGUGCAGGAGAGGAGAGUGGAAUUCCUAGUGUAGCGGUGAAAUGCGUAGAUAUUAGGAGGAACACCAGUUGCGAAGGCGGCUCUCUGGACUGUAACUGACGCUGAGGCACGAAAGCAUGGGGAGCAAACAGGAUUAGAUACCCCUGUA